UACGGAGGGGGCUAGCGUUGUUCGGAAUUACUGGGCGUAAAGCGCACGUAGGCGGCUUUGUAAGUUAGAGGUGAAAGCCCGGGGCUCAACUCCGGAAUUGCCUUUAAGACUGCAUCGCUAGAAUUGUGGAGAGGUAAGUGGAAUUCCGAGUGUAGAGGUGAAAUUCGUAGAUAUUCGGAAGAACACCGGUGGCGAAGGCGGGUCUCUGGGCCGAUACUGACGCUGAGGAGCGAAAGCGUGGGAGCAAACAGG
rnacentral:rRNA from 1 species